rnacentral:rRNA from 1 species
GGGGAAUAUUGCGCAAUGGGCGAAAGCCUGACGCAGCAACGCCGCGUGAGUGAUGAAGGCCUUCGGGUUGUAAAGCUCUGUCGGAAGGGAAGAAAGGCUAAGUGGGUAAUAUUCAUUUAGUUUGACGGUACCUUCAAAGGAAGCACCGGCUAACUUCGUGCCAGCAGCCGCGGUAAUACGAAGGGUGCAAGCGUUGUUCGGAAUCACUGGGCGUAAAGCGAGUGUAGGCGGUUUCUUAUGUCAGGUGUGAAAUCCCUUGGCUUAACCAAGGAAGUGCGCUUGAAACUGAGAAGCUAGAGUACUGGAGAGGAAGGUGGAAUACCUAGUGUAGAGGUGAAAUUCGUAGAUAUUAGGUGGAACACCGGAGGCGAAAGCGACCUUCUGGACAGAUACUGACGCUGAGACUCGAAAGCGUGGGGAGCAAAC